UACAACUUUCAACAACGGAUCUCUUGGCUCUCGCAUCGAUGAAGAACGCAGCGAAAUGCGAUACGUAAUGUGAAUUGCAG
rnacentral:rRNA from 1 species